UCGUAGUUUUGCGUGAAACUGAAACUCCAAAGAGACCAGGUCGAGUGUGAUUAUCCGUAGGCAGACUUGAUAAGCUUUGAAUCCUUCGGAUAACAUCAACUUGUGAUAAAGAUGACAUUUAGGAUGAAGCUUGGUUCCUCUAUUUCACUUUGGAGAAGGAGUCUGGACUCCGAGUUCUGUAUAAAUAGGAGUACCCAUUACUUGAUUCUGCAUUCUCCAUCAAGAACGUACAUUGGGCCUCUCGAGUUGAACUGGAUGUGGCUUCUCCUCGAGACAUAAUUUUGAAGCAAAGCAUUGCAGGCGGUGUUCGAACCAUUGCUUUACAGAGGUGGAGUAAUUUAUUCCUUUGGUGCUGCAUAAAGAUUCCUCCAGAGCAGUUUCUUCACUUUGACGCACCGCAAUACAGGCAUCAAAGACAAGUGUAGCGAAACUCGGGAACUUCGUAGAGCCGUACUUGGUGUGAACUGGCAGCCCCCCGGGCAUUCACUUGACACUCAUCUUUGCCACCCAUAUGCAGGACGCACCGCGAUACAGGCAUCAAAAACAAGUGUAGUGAACCCCUCUGUUUCUCUUCUUUUGCCAUCAGAAAGUUGUCGAAAUCCCUUCUCUUUGCACGUGCUUCUUUCAUUCUCUGAACCUGCACUUGUCGUCAACAUAGAAGGUAUUUCGAAAAUGUUUUCUGGUUGUUGUUUUAUGUCUUUCUGAUUUCUGGUGGGCAGCAGUAGAGUUUUGGGGUUUUGUGGCUUUUUGGUUGGUGUAUUUGGCUUUGGGGAUUUCAAGGCUUCUUAGCACGGAGGAUUUGUUAUCGGUGCUGUUUUGGAAGGGUUAUAAAACCCCUGUGGAAAUAAACAGAGGAAGGACUUUCUGCACUCAUGAACCCAUCAGCAACAAUACAGGAAAAGUACCAAUAAAAGACCAUGGAGAAAUGACCAGCAGGAUACCUGAACUUGAUGCUCUCCUGUCGUCGGGUUGUAGUCUCCAGCCUUGUGUUUCUUAUAUAGGGGGCAGUGGAGAUUCUAGAGGGCGGGAUAAACAUUUGUUUGAAAUUUGAAUCUCCCGAAGCUCACGAAGAUAAGUUGUUGAUCGGAGACUUCGUCUUUGACUUUGAGACUGAACUUGGACGCCCUCUGCCACUUUAUCCUCAUCUCUCUUUGAGAUAUUUGAUUCAAAAUUUGAAUGCCGCCCUUUUGUUUCUGUUUUGUAGUAUCCACGUUAGAAGUAGGUCAACAUUCAACUUCUUGUUUGAAUAUGAAUAAGAUAAAUGUAACUAAAGCAAUUUUUUUUAA